ACAAACACAUUUACAUAAGUAAUUCUGUAUUCAAAGGAAAAGACCCGGACUCCUGCGGUAAUGAUGUGUCAGUGCGGCCUUUCGGGUCACGUGACUCAUCAGGACAGAGUGGGAGCUGAGUGACAGAUGAAAUGGCCGAGCAAACCCAAGGUCUGGACUGAUCUACAAGGCACAGCCUUAGGAGGUGCACCAUGCAGACAGAAGAACAAACUCCCAGCCGGGGCAGUUGCAGGGAGAACCCGCACAUUUACGAACGAUGAAGGACACUAGAGGAUCCAAAGUAAACGACCAAGAAACCAUCGAACCACCCAAACCUACAAAACGAGAGUCGGAGGGAGGGGGGAUAGGAGGAGCCUAGACCGGAAGCCAAUGGAAUCAUGGGUACUGUGGUCAGGCGUGAGCUGGAGAGCAUUGUUCUAAGGAAGGCAUCGGGAAGGGCUGAAGAUGCUGAGGAAUGCACAAGUGAGGCCCCAAGGGUCACAGCUGUCACAGCCUCUGAUGCUGCUCAUCGCGGCUUUGUCGCCUGACCGGAGGACCUCAAGAGCGCGCUCCUUACAUGCACCUGUGCGUGGUUUUGACAGCUGUGGAAGGCGCAUCUCCUUUCGACCCAACCUUUAACUUUUUGUUUCUGACCUUUUUGUUGUGCCUGUGGUGACAACAUGUGUUGCUUAAUGAGCCAUUUUAAAGUGCACACAGCUCAGGGGCAUGUAGUAUGUUCACCGUGUGUGCAGCCACCAAUUCUCUGGUUAUACAACAUUUUUUUUUUUUUAGAGACAAAAGACCCAACGUGAAGGACGUAAGGAGGAUUUAUUUUGACUCCUGGUUUUGGUGGUUUCAGAUCACAGUUCUUAUCUCUAUUAAUUCUGGACCAUGGUAAGGCUGAACAUCAUUAUGGCAGGAGUGUGUGGCAGAGGAGGCUCAUCUAAUGAUGGGAAGGGGGAGGGGAGAGAGAGAGAGAGAGAGAGAGAGAGAGAGAGAGAGAGAGAGAGAGAGAGAGAGAGAGAGAAUGCCCUGGACAAGAUACCCCAGGUCCUACCUUCAGUGAUGAAUGUCCUACUGAUUCUAACCCCUAUAGUUUCCUUAGCCUCUUAAAUAGCAACACCACGUAGGGUCAAGGUCAACGUGCAAUACCAGAGCCUGUGGUUUCCUAUUCAAAUUCCAGGGCUUCCCCUCUGUGCAGCCUCUCUUUCCUUAUCCAGUCCUCUCCAGGUUUCUCCUGGCGCCCUUGCUUCAAGCCUUUGGUUUCCCAGCAAGGACCUCAGACAGAGAGAAGCUGUAUACAACAGGCUCACUUCUCUCA
rnacentral:lncRNA from 1 species